UCCGUAGGUGAACCUGCGGAAGGAUCAUUACAGUGUUAGGCUUCGGCCUCAUUCCACACCCCUUGUUUAACCUCUGGUUUCUUUGGCGAUGUCAAUCGUCAAACUUUAACUCUGAUAAUGUGGUACUGUCCGAGUCCAAUUGAAUUAUCAAAACUUUCAACAACGGAUCUCUUGGUUCCAGCAUCGAUGAAGAACGCAGCGAAAUGCGAUAAAUAAUGUGAAUUGCAGAAUUCCGUGAAUCAUCGAGUCUUUGAACGCACAUUGCACUCCUUGGUAUUCCAUGGAGCAUGCCUGUUUGAGUGUCACGUAAACCCUCACCCUGGUGAUGUCAAAUGUCGCCUGUGGUGGAUUUGGACCGUGCCGUAAUUGGCUCGUCCUGAAAUGCAUUAGCUUGCGCUUUUUAGAGUGCUCGGCAUGGUGUGAUAAUUAUCUGCGCCAUUGCCUUAGGCCUCUUCUGUGUGCGCUGCUUCCAAUUGUCCCUUGUGGACAACAUAUUUUAAGCUUUGGCCUCAAUCAUGGUAGGACUACCCGCUGAACUUAA
rnacentral:rRNA from 1 species